CUGGAAACGAGGUUGCCGAUACCGCUGUUCACGGCGCUCAAAACAGUGAAUUCGUCGUGAUUUUAUCGGGGUUUUCUUGAGACAUGGUAACCAAAGAUGAGCUUCUUGCAUUGUCUGGAUGGCAGUUGCAGGUUAUUGAAGAUUUGGCACACUAGAAGCCCGUCGAAGGUUCAUCUCUGGCUGGUCUCGUGCCGGACAAUGCCUUCUUCUCAUUGCUGAUAGAGACAAUUGAAGAAUCAGCAUAUCUUUCAUUCAAAGACAGCCUUCCAUCUGUAAUUACAAGACACACGACAUCAGACCCAGGGAUUCGAGUCUGAGGUUUUAUCUUCUUGAGGACUGUACUGCCAUUUCACGCCAAGAGAUUUAUGACACCUUUAGAAAUAAGAUGGGAUGGGUUUAAGUGACCAUGCAUGUUUAAUGUACCGAGCACAAUGUCUAAUAAUAAUAUUGACGACGUCUUAUAUUGACAAUUCACCACUUUUGAAAUGAAAAGUUUCAAAUCACUCAGACACACAGUCAUGGUCAUGGUCAUAAGUGUGGGAUCUUUUUUGAAAGUAACAAGUCAUAUACUGUACCUGACUAUGCUAAUGGCUGGUGUUAUUCACUCUAAAUGGAAAUUAGCUUCUGUGAAAACUUCUGGGGAGUCUUGCAUUUUAGAGAGUAGGUAUUAAAAACACUGCUAUUUUUCCAGAAUAUGUGGUCUUUAUUUUGAUACCAUACAUGCAGUGGUUGGUGUAAAAUCUGAUUUUAACAGUGCUUGCCCACAAUCAAGGCGGCUGACAAAAUAUAAUGUGACCACAAAUGUCUUGCCAUAGUCUUGGACUCUGUCAGCCAUCUUGAAUACCUUUAAAAGCUGUAGAUUCUUUAUAAACAAAGUGAGACCUUCAUUUUGAUACCAUACAUGCCACGGU